rnacentral:rRNA from 1 species
GACGAAGGAUGCAAGCGUUAUCCGGAUUCAUUGGGUUUAAAGGGAGCGUAGGUGGACUUGUAAGUCAGUGGUGAAAUCUUUGGGCUUAACCCAGAAACUGCCAUUGAUACUGCAGGUCUAGAGUACAGUUGCCGUUGGCGGAAUAUGACAUGUAGUGGUGAAAUACUUAGAUAUGUCAUAGAACACCGAUUGCGAAGGCAGCUAACGAAGCUGUAACUGACACUGAGGCUCGAAAAGUGCGGGGAUCAAACAGG